GUGACCGAUGUAAGACAUUAUUAUUUUACAUAGUUCGAUGUAGAAUUGGAAGACAUUUCUAAGCCCCAGCUUGAUCUCGUGCUUUCUCAGUGCGCGAUUUUCCAACUCCAUGCGUAGGAAGUUCUUUGAUUGGCGAAAUCUUCUUUGAGUGUUCCUCAACUGAUCGUCUACUCUCGUGCAACAACCAAUUGAACGCAUUGUAUUCUUUGAAUGCACUAUUAGAAGCCUUGUCGGAUCCUCAAAACUACGUUCAUCAGAAACUUCAGAAGCUGGGUAAUUAUCGUAUUGCCAGUUUACUAGGAAAAGAAAAGGAUUGUGCCUACAAGUUGAGUAUCAGAAGUUAGAUCUACUUUGUAAGGAUCAAAGGGAAGCCUCUCAUUUGAUGUUAAUAAAAUCUCUUUUCUUUUUAUUGUAUUGUUUAGUGACUUUUGGAACUCUUAAUUCCCACAGUUCUUCGUCUUCUUUUUCUCUUCUAGACUAUAAUUACCUCUUUUUAGCUUUUGAUUGUUUUAAAUCUUCCAAGUUUGGUUUCAUGUUUUGGAACUGUUUUUGGGUGGUUAGUUAGUCGUCCAUAAGAAAUGCUUUUGCGUAACUUUUAGCAUCAUAGAGGCACCUUGGUUUCUACUUAGCAACAAGGGGGUAAAACAUGAACCUAUUGUUCUAGACCAACUA